UACGUAGGGGGCUAGCGUUGUCCGGAUUUAUUGGGCGUAAAGAGCGUGUAGGCGGCCAGGUAGGUCUGCUGUGAAAACUCGAGGCUCAACCUCGAGACGUCGGCGGAAACCAUCUGGCUAGAGUCCGGAAGAGGAGAGUGGAAUUCCUGGUGUAGCGGUGAAAUGCGCAGAUAUCAGGAAGAACACCCGUGGCGAAGGCGGCUCUCUGGGACGGUACUGACGCUGGGACGCGAAAGCCAGGGGAGCAAACGGG
rnacentral:rRNA from 1 species